rnacentral:misc_RNA from 1 species
GAUGAAGAACGUAGUAAAAUGCGAUAAGUAAUGUGAAUUGCAGAAUUCAGUGAAUCAUCGAAUCUUUGAACGCACAUUGCGCCCGCUGGUAUUCCGGCGGGCAUGCCUGUUCGUGCGUCAUUUCAACCCUCAAGCCCCCGGGUUUGGUGUUGGGGAUCGGCUCUGCCCUUCUGGGCGGUGCCGCCCCCGAAAUACAUUGGCGGUCUCGCUGCAGCCUCCAUUGCGUAGUAGCUAACACCUCGCAACUGGAACGCGGCGCGGCCAUGCCGUAAAACCCCAACUUCUGAAUGUUGACCUCGGAUCAGGUAGGAAUACCCGCUGAACUUAAGCAUAUCAAUAAGCGGAGGA